rnacentral:snRNA from 1 species
GGACUUAAAGAACAGUACUUUCGCCCAAAUGAAAAUAUAUAGAGAAGAUUAGCAUGGCCCCUGCGACCAAGGAUGACCCUUUGACGUCCUUUAUUGAGCUUAU